rnacentral:rRNA from 1 species
CAGCCGCCGCGGUAAUACGAAGGGGGCUAGCGUUGUUCGGAAUUACUGGGCGUAAAGCGCACGUAGGCGGAUAUUUAAGUCAGGGGUGAAGUCCCGCAGCUCAACUGCGGAACAGCCUUUGAUACUGGGUAUCUUGAGUAUGGAAGAGGUAAGUGGAAUUGCGAGUGUAGAGGUGAAAUUCGUAGAUAUUCGCAGGAACACCAGUGGCGAAGGCGGCUUACUGGUCCAUUACUGACGCUGAGGUGCGAAAGCGUGGGGAGCAAACAGGAUUAGAUACCCCAGUAGUCCCUGUCUCUUAUAC